UCCGGAAUGGUCUAACGGUCAUGAUUUCCGCUUGUCACUUGUAUAACAAGCGCGGGAGACCAGGGUUCGACUCCCUGUUCCGGAG
rnacentral:tRNA from 2 species